rnacentral:rRNA from 1 species
GAUGAACGCUGGCGGCGUGCCUAAUACAUGCAAGUCGAGCGAACAGACGAGGAGCUUGCUCCUCUGACGUUAGCGGCGGACGGGUGAGUAACACGUGGAUAACCUACCUAUAAGACUGGGAUAACUUCGGGAAACCGGAGCUAAUACCGGAUAAUAUAUUGAACCGCAUGGUUCAAUAGUGAAAGACGGUUUUGCUGUCACUUAUAGAUGGAUCCGCGCCGCAUUAGCUAGUUGGCAAGGUAAAGGCUUACCAAGGCAACGAUGCGUAGCCGACCUGAGAGGGUGAUCGGCCACACUGCGGCUGAGACACGCUCCAGACUCCUACGGGAGGCAGCAGUAGGGCAUCUUCCGCAAUGCGCGAAAGCCUGACGGAGCAACCCCGCGUGGGUGAUGACGGUCUUCGGAUCGUAGAACUCUGUUAUUAGGGAAGAACAAAUGUGUAAGUAACUAUGCACGUCUUGACGGUACCUACUCAGAAAGCCACGGCUAACUACGUG